GAUGAACGCUGGCGGCGUGCCUAAUGCAUGCAAGUCGAGCGAAUGGAUUAAGAGCUUGCUCUUAUGAAGUUAGCGGCGGACGGGUGAGUAACACGUGGGUAACCUGCCCAUAAGACUGGGAUAACUCCGGGAAACCGGGGCUAAUACCGGAUAACAUUUUGAACCGCAUGGUUCGAAAUUGAAAGGCGGCUUCGGCUGUCACUUAUGGAUGGACCCGCGUCGCAUUAGCUAGUUGGUGAGGUAACGGCUCACCAAGGCAACGAUGCGUAGCCGACCUGAGGGGGGGAUCGGCCACGCUGGGACUGCGACACGGCCCAGACUCCUACGGGAGGCAGCAGUAGGGAAUCUUCCGCAAUGGACGAAAGUCUGACGGAGCAACGCCGCGUGAGUGAUGAGGGCUUUCGGGUCGUAAAACUCUGUUGUUAGGGAGGAACAAGUGCUAGUUGAAUAAGCUGGCACCUUGACGGUACCUAACCAGAAAGCCACGGCUAACUACGUGCCAGCCGCCGCAGUAA
rnacentral:rRNA from 1 species